AUUUCACAAGGGGUGCCCACUCGGCUGAGAACAUACCCUAUGAACCUGAUCCGGAUAAUACCGGCGGAGGAAUGAGAAAAUG
rnacentral:ncRNA from 1 species